rnacentral:lncRNA from 1 species
CUGUAAGUGUGCCUUCCAUAUGCAAACCGGUAACCAGUCAAGAGCCCACACCCUCCCCAGGGCAGGUACCAUCUGUAAGUGUGCUUCCAUAUGCAAACCAACCAGUCCAGAGCCCACACCCUCCCCAGGGCAGGGACCAGACAGCUAGGGACAGCCAGCCCCCACACCCCAGGGCCCGGGACAUUAUUGAAACCAGCCCGCCCUGAGCCUGUUUACCCUGCUUCCUCUGUUCCUUCCCGUGGGAAACGUGGGAACCGCAGUGCAGGCUCCGCCCGCACUCUCCUCCUGCUCCCAGUGCCUCCAGACAGGCUCUGGUGCUUCUGUGAGGCCCCGCCCCUCCUGUUUCUAGGGGCCUAAGUGUAAUAAGCCUCCGUCCCACAGUCAUUCCUAUGGCUGUGUCUCCCCCACCAGCCUAAAGCAAACCCUGGGAACCCUUCAAACACCUGCAGUGCAGAGUCCUUUCUCCAUGUUAUGUGGGGCCGCUCUGGUGUCCCAGCCCCUGUGAAUGAGGUCACGACGCCAGCUCAGCCAGUCCUGGAAGCCAUCUGAGAGCUGCUCUCCUGCUCAAGCCAAUGUGUGAAAUACGGCAUUUUGGAUACAUCAUCACCAGUGAGCCAAGCUGGACGCUAGUUAAAGCGGAAGAGAAAGAAAAAGGAAGAAAUGGAAGCAUCUGGAACCAGUCAUCCUGGACCCAUGCUAGGAGGUGCUUCCCCCUACGCCUCAACCAACAAAGCUUAGCAUUGCACCAGGUGCACAAGAGAAGCGCCUGCUGGCUCCAGCUCCAUUGCCUCGGAACCAGCCAUGAAGGAUCCAGUUUCCAUGCAUCCUCACCAGGCUUCAGUAUGAUCACUAUGAUCUUAUCUCAGCCACCUUAAUAGGAACCACCAUCAGAAGCCAUCCAGAGAAACGCACCAGGCCACAAAGCACUGGGGGCCAGGGAUCUUGCCCCUGCUGUCUGCCAUGGGUUGACCCCCAGCCUCCAACCCUACCAUCCCCUGACGGUGUCUGCAGCAGUUGAACCCAACCAGCAUCUAAAAGAACACAGUUGGUGAACGAGACUGGGACACAGGGCAAGAUGGGUGGACAAUGGGAGGCUCCUGGAGAGCACCCGUACCAGCGAGCAUAGAAUUCAUGGGGGUGACCUGUUCCCUGAAGCAUCUGCGCGUGUUGUUCCAGCAUUUUCUUCAAGGAUUGAGCCAGCAGCACCAGUGUCAUACGGUGCUUAAAUCAAUGAUUCACAACCAACCAAUGAAAUACAAGGUGCCGGCUGGGCGCGGUGGCUCACGCCUGUAAUCCCAGCACUUUGGGAGGCCGAGGCGGGCG